CAGCGAGGCUAAGCUAGUGGGGGAAAAGUUUCAGUGCAUUCCGUUGAUGUAGACGGCGUGAAAACGGAAACAACAAGAAUGCCGUCUCACUGUGCUGCAUACAGUUACACACUACGUCGUACGAUUGAGACAAGGAAACUUGGAAUGACUUUUCAUAGGUUUCCCAGAGACUAUGGGUUGAGGAGGAAUUGGAAGUUUGUCGGCUUAGACCUGGUGUCAUUCCAUCAGUGUUAAACUUCCCGGUUCAUCUUGGAAGAGUACGUGCCAGAAAGACCACGACCAAGCAGCCUUGAGAUCUUAGACAGCGUCUCCCUGAGACCAAAGAACUACAGACUCUUCACAACCUGCUCAAACUCUUGGUACAGGACCUCACCACACGGGUCAAGAAGGUUUCCUUCUCAUUUCUACUCUGAAGCUCACCUUCUCCUGCUCAAACUGCUGACAAAUGUUUCUGCUGCUCUAAAGUCUGCUCUCCAGAACUUCCUAAAAACUCUCAAAGUCUCUUCUGCUGCAGGUUGCUUUGUAGAACUGUUCCAGAAAACCUCACUAAACCACAUGGAGGAGCCUCAAGAUAGUCG
ensembl:lncRNA